UACGGGGGGGGCAAGCGUUGUUCGGAAUUACUGGGCGUAAAGGGCUCGUAGGCGGCCAACUAAGUCGGACGUGAAAUCCCUCGGCUUAACCGGGGAACUGCGUCCGAUACUGGAUGGCUUGAGUUUGGGAGAGGGAUGCGGAAUUCCAGGUGUAGCGGUGAAAUGCGUAGAUAUCAGGGGGAACACCGAUGGCGAAGGCAGUGCUCUGGCCGAAGACCGACGCUGAGGCGCGAAAGCUAGGGGAGCAAACAGG
rnacentral:rRNA from 1 species